UUGGAGAGUUUGAUCCUGGCUCAGGACGAACGCUGGCGGCGUGCUUAACACAUGCAAGUCGAACGGAAAGGCCCUUCGGGGUGCUCGAGUGGCGAACGGGUGAGUAACACGUGGGUGAUCUGCCCUGCACUUUGGGAUAAGCCUGGGAAACUGGGUCUAAUACCGAAUAGGACCACGGCAUUCAUGUGCUGUGGUGGAAAGCUUUUGCGGUGUGGGAUGGGCCCGCGGCCUAUCAGCUUGUUGGUGGGGUAAUGGCCUACCAAGGCGACGACGGGUAGCCGGCCUGAGAGGGUGACCGGCCACACUGGGACUGAGAUACGGCCCAGACUCCUACGGGAGGCAGCAGUGGGGAAUAUUGCACAAUGGGCGCAAGCCUGAUGCAGCGACGCCGCGUGAGGGAUGACGGCCUUCGGGUUGUAAACCUCUUUCAGUACCGACGAAGCGCGAGUGACGGUAGGUACAGAAGAAGGACCGGCCAACUACGUGCCAGCAGCCGCGGUAAUACGUAGGGUCCGAGCGUUGUCCGGAAUUACUGGGCGUAAAGAGCUCGUAGGUGGUUUGUCGCGUUGUUCGUGAAAACUCACAGCUUAACUGUGGGCGUGCGGGCGAUACGGGCAGACUGGAGUACUGCAGGGGAGACUGGAAUUCCUGGUGUAGCGGUGGAAUGCGCAGAUAUCAGGAGGAACACCGGUGGCGAAGGCGGGUCUCUGGGCAGUAACUGACGCUGAGGAGCGAAAGCGUGGGGAGCGAACAGGAUUAGAUACCCUGGUAGUCCACGCCGUAAACGGUGGGUACUAGGUGUGGGUUUCCUUCCUUGGGAUCCGUGCCGUAGCUAACGCAUUAAGUACCCCGCCUGGGGAGUACGGCCGCAAGGCUAAAACUCAAAGGAAUUGACGGGGCCCGCACAAGCGGCGGAGCAUGUGGAUUAAUUCGAUGCAACGCGAAGAACCUUACCUGGGUUUGACAUGCACAGGACGUGCCUAGAGAUAGGUAUUCCCUUGUGGCCUGUGUGCAGGUGGUGCAUGGCUGUCGUCAGCUCGUGUCGUGAGAUGUUGGGUUAAGUCCCGCAACGAGCGCAACCCUUGUCUCAUGUUGCCAGCACGUUAUGGUGGGGACUCGUGAGAGACUGCCGGGGUCAACUCGGAGGAAGGUGGGGAUGACGUCAAGUCAUCAUGCCCCUUAUGUCCAGGGCUUCACACAUGCUACAAUGGCCGGUACAAAGGGCUGCGAUGCCGUAAGGUGGAGCGAAUCCUUUCAAAGCCGGUCUCAGUUCGGAUCGGGGUCUGCAACUCGACCCCGUGAAGUCGGAGUCGCUAGUAAUCGCAGAUCAGCAACGCUGCGGUGAAUACGUUCCCGGGCCUUGUACACACCGCCCGUCACGUCAUGAAAGUCGGUAACACCCGAAGCCGGUGGCCUAACCCCUUGUGGGAGGGAGCCGUCGAAGGUGGGAUCGGCGAUUGGGACGAAGUCGUAACAAGGUAGCCGUACCGGAAGGUGCGGCUGGAUCACCUCCUUU
rnacentral:rRNA from 1 species